GACGAACGCUGGCGGCGUGCUUAACACAUGCAAGUCGAACGGAAAGGCCCUGCUUUUGUGGGGUGCUCGAGUGGCGAACGGGUGAGUAACACGUGAGUAACCUGCCCUUGACUUUGGGAUAACUUCAGGAAACUGGGGCUAAUACCUGCUAGGAGCUCCUGCUGCAUGGUGGGGGUGGGAAAGUUUCGGCGGUUGGGGAUGUACUCGCGGCUUAUCAGCUUGUUGGUGGGGUAGUGGCUUACCAAGGCUUUGACGGGUAGCCGGCCUGAGAGGGUGACCGGCCACAUUGGGACUGAGAUACGGCCCAGACUCCUACGGGAGGCAGCAGUGGGGAAUAUUGCACGAUGGGGGGAAGCCUGAUGCAGCAACGCCGCGUGCGGGAUGAAGGCCUUCGGGUUGUAAACCGCUUUCGCCUGUGACGAAGCGUGAGUGACGGUAAUGGGUAAAGAAGCACCGGCUAACUACGUG
rnacentral:rRNA from 1 species